CACGUAGGGGGCGAGCGUUGUCCGGAUUUAUUGGGCGUAAAGAGCUCGUAGGCGGCUCGGUAAGUCGGGUGUGAAACCUCCAGGCUCAACCUGGAGACGCCACCCGAUACUGCCGUGGCUAGAGUCCGGUAGAGGAGCGUAGAAUUCCUGGUGUAGCGGUGAAAUGCGCAGAUAUCAGGAGGAAUACCAGCGGCGAAGGCGGCGCUCUGGGCCGGUACUGACGCUGAGGAGCGAAAGCGCGGGGAGCAAACAGG
rnacentral:rRNA from 1 species